AACGCACAUUGCGCCCGCCAGUAUUCUGGCGGGCAUGCCUGUCUGAGCGUCAUUUCAACCCUCAUGCCCCUAGGGCGUGGUGUUGGGGAUCGGCCAAAGCCCGUAAGGGACGGCCGGCCCCUAAAUCUAGUGGCGGACCCGUCGUGGCCUCCUCUGCGAAGUAGUGAUAUUCCGCAUCGGAGAGCGAUGAGCCCCUGCCGUUAAACCCCCAACUUUCUAAGGUUGACCUCAGAUCAGGUAGGAAUACCCGCUGAACUUAA
rnacentral:misc_RNA from 1 species